rnacentral:rRNA from 1 species
UACAGAGGGUGCAAGCGUUAAUCGGAAUUACUGGGCGUAAAGCGCGCGCAGGCGGUUUGUUAAGUCAGAUGUGAAAUCCCCGCGCUUAACGUGGGAACUGCAUUUGAAACUGGCAAGCUAGAGUCUUGUAGAGGGGGGUAGAAUUCCAGGUGUAGCGGUGAAAUGCGUAGAGAUCUGGAGGAAUACCGGUGGCGAAGGCGGCCCCCUGGACAAAGACUGACGCUCAGGUGCGAAAGCGUGGGGAGCAAACAGG